GACGAACGCUGGCGGCGUGCCUAAUACAUGCAAGUAGGACGCAGUUGCGAACGGGUGAGUAACGCGUAGGUAAAUGCCUAUUAGAGGGGGAUAACUAUUGGAAACGAUAGCUAAUACCGCAUACUAGUAGAUGGACCUGCGUUGUAUUAGGUAGUAGGUAGGGUAAUGGCCUACCUAGGCAAAGAUACAUAGCCGAGCUGGGAGGGUGAUCGGGCAAACUGGGAAUGGGGCACGGCCCAGACUCCUAAGGGAGGCAGCAGUAGGGAAUCUUCGGCAAUGGGGGGAACCCUGGCCGAGCAACGCCGCGUGGGUGAAGAAGGUUUUCGGAGCGUAAAGCUCUGUUGUUAAGGAAGCGGUACUUAACCAGAAAGGGACGGCUAACUACGUGCCAGCAGCCGCGGUAAUAC
rnacentral:rRNA from 1 species